rnacentral:rRNA from 1 species
UACGUAGGGGGCAAGCGUUGUCCGGAUUUACUGGGCGUAAAGAGCGUGUAGGCGGCCACGCAGGUCCGUUGUGAAAACUGGAGGCUCAACCUCCAGCUGUCGACGGAAACCGUGUGGCUAGAGUCCGGAAGAGGAGAGUGGAAUUCCUGGUGUAGCGGUGAAAUGCGCAGAUAUCAGGAGAACACCAAUGGCGAAGGCAGCUCUCUGGGACGGUACUGACGCUGAGACGCGAAAGCGUGGGGAGCGAACAGG